CUUUAUCAUCCUUAACACACAAAGUUCAUCUCAUUUUGGAAGCUAAGCAGCAUCAGGCCUGGUCAAGACUCUGGUGAGAGAUCACCAGGGAACACUUGGGAUCUCAAGGC
rnacentral:rRNA from 1 species